rnacentral:lncRNA from 1 species
GGGGAUGUUCGGAGUUUUGGAUAGUUCGGGUACUGGGUACAUUUACCCGAAUUACCCAAAUUAACAUCGGGUAAUACGAGUCACUACCCGAACUAAACAUCGAGCAGUGCGGGUUCGGGUUGUUCGGGUCCGGGUCCGGGUAGUUUGGGGUCGGGUAACGGGUAGCGGGUAAUUUGCCUAGAUUGACCUCUGUCGCUACUACCCGUAGCAGAACUCGAGUAAUUGCUUCAAGCAAAAACUCGUCUACUACUCGAGCCAAU